UGGGGAAUAUUGCACAAUGGGGGAAAGAAAUGCAGCCACGCCGCGUGAGUGAUGAAGGUUUUCGGGUUGUAAAACUCUUUCUUCGGGGACGAUAAUGACGGUACCCUAAGAGGAAGCCUUGGCUAACUUCAUGCCAGCAGCCGCGGUAAUUAAA
rnacentral:rRNA from 1 species